rnacentral:rRNA from 1 species
AUGAUCAAAGAACUUUUUAAGGAUAAUGCCAGUGUUCUAUCUAGCAUUCUGGCUAUGGACAUAAUGAGCCUUGAAGAGACAUUAAAGAAAUAUCUGGAGCAAAGGAAGUACUUUAUCAUAUUGGAUGAUGUUUGGGAUCCGGAAGCAUUUAAUGAUUUGUCAAGGAUGUUUAUUCAUAAUGAUAAGGGCAGUAGAGUGAUGCUCACAACAAGGGAAGCCUGCGUUGCCGCACUUGCCUCUCCAGGACGUAUCUUAACACUGGAAGCUUUACCAGAAUACAAGGCAUGGGAUCUCUUUUGUAAGAAAGCCUUUCCAAGAGAUACAAAUCAUGAAUGUCCCACAGAAUUGAAGCCAUUGUGCAAGGAAAUAGUUAGCAAGUUCAAAGGCUUGCCUCUUGCUAUCGUGUCAGUUGGUAGCCUCUUGCGUGUGCGUGAUAAAACCGUGGAAGAAUGGAGAAGAAUAAACGAACAACUGAGCUGGGAGAUAAUUAACAAUUCAAGGCUGGACCACAUAAGGAAUGUUCUGCAUCUAAGCUUCAUCUACCUCCCAACAUACUUAAAAAGUUCUUUCCUAUACAGCAGCUUAUUUCCAGAAGACUAUCAUUUUAAAAGGAAACAACUUGUACGGUUAUGGACAACAGAGGGAUUCAUCGAGGAGAGGGGUGAAAGCACACUAGAAGUAGUGGCAGAAUGCUAUCUAAAAGAGUUGGUUGACAGAAACAUGCUGCAACUUGUUGAGAGAAACUCAUUUGGUCGGAUGAAGAAAUUCAAAAUGCACGAUCUCGUACGUGAACUCGCAGUUGAUUUGUGCAAGAAGAAUUGUUUUGGUGUUAGUUAUGAGGAUCAGUGUGGGGGGUCUCUUGAGAUGAAUGGACGUCGGUUGGUGCUUCACAAACUAUAG